rnacentral:rRNA from 1 species
CCUACGGGAGGCAGCAGUAAGGAAUAUUGCGCAAUGGGCGAAAGCCUGACGCAGCGACGCCGCGUGGGGGAUGAAGGUCUUCGGAUUGUAAACCCCUUUCGGGAGGGAAGAUGGAGCGAGCAAUCGUUCGGACGGUACCUCCAGAAGCAGCCACGGCCAACUUCGUGCCAGCAGCCGCGGUAAUACGAAGGUGGCAAGCGUUGUUCGGAUUCACUGGGCGUACAGGGUGUGUAGGCGGUUUGGUAAGCCUUCUGUUAAAGCUUCGGGCCCAACCCGGAAAGCGCAGAGGGUACUGCCAGGCUAGAGGGUGGGAGAGGAGCGCGGAAUUCCCGGUGUAGCGGUGAAAUGCGUAGAGAUCGGGAGGAAGGCCGGUGGCGAAGGCGGCGCUCUGGAACAUACCUGACGCUGAGACACGAAAGCGUGGGGAGCAAACAGGAUUAGAUACCCUGGUAGUCCACGCCCUAAACUAUGGAUACUAAGUGUCGGCGGGUUACCGCCGGUGCCGCAGCUAACGCAUUAAGUAUCCCGCCUGGGAAGUACGGCCGCAAGGUUGAAACUCAAAUGAAUUGACGG